UCCGAGGUUCCUCGGGGUUCCGAUUACGAAAAUGACGUUCAUUUUGAAAUCCAAGAUGGCGGACAUUAAGUUUUCUUAAAAAUCGAUAUGGGUGUCAUCUCCGAGGUUCCUCGGGGAUCCGAUUACGAAAAUGACGUUCAUUUUGAAAUCCAAGAUGGCGGAAAUUAUUUUUUCUUAAAAGUCGAUAUGGGUGUCAUAUUCGAGGUUCCUCGGGAUUCCGAUUACGAAAAUGACGUCUAUUUUGAAAUCCAAGAUGGUGGACAUUAAUUUUUCUUAAAAAUCGAUAUGGGUGUCAUCUCCGAGGUUCUUCGAGGUUCCGAUUACGAAAAUGACGUCCAUUUUGCAAUCCAAGAUGGCGAACAUUAUUUUUUCUUUAAAAUCGAUAUGGGUGCCAUCUCCGAGGUUCCUCGGGGAUCCGAUUACGAAAAUGACGUUCAUUUUGAAAUCCAAGAUGGCGGAAAUUAUUUUUUCUUAAGUCGAUAUGGGUGUCAUAUCCGAGGUUCCUCGGGAUUCCGAUUACGAAAAUGACGUCUAUUUUGAAAUCCAAGAUGGCGGACAUUAAUUUUUCUUAAAAAUCGACAUGAGUGUCUUCUCCGAGGUUCCUCGGGGUUCCGAUUACGAAAAUGACGUUCAUUUUGAAAUCCAAGAUGGCGGACAUUAAUUUUUCUUAAAAAUCGAUAUGGGUGUCAUCUCCGAGGUUCCUCGGGGUUCCAAUUACAAAAAUGACGUCAAUUUUGGCGGUUCUUGUUGGUGCAGAUUUCAAAAAUAGAGACCAUUUUAGAAUUAAAGGUGGUUGAUAUGACGGCUACACACAUCGACACCCAUUUCAAAAAGUAGCGUCCGCCAUAUUUAUUUUCAAAAUAGAUGUCAUUUUUGAAAUCCACACCCCUAAAAACCCAGAAAACAACACCCAUGACGACUUUUUCAAAAAAGUGACGUCCGCCAUCUUUAUUUCCAAAAUGGACGUCAUUUGUAAAAUUAGUACACAUACAUCAUACAACAUGAAAACUAAAAACAUUUCCAUCCUCUUUUGGGCAGUUGUGUAAGUCUGUGAUAACCCUAGGUAGGUACGGAGACCUUGAGCGGUGUCGGCAUUUACGCAAACAUCAAAGGCGUCGGCCCACUGUUACUUUUUACACUGUGCUUUUAGUGUGUAAACGAAAACGUCACAUGAUAUAUCAAAAGAAAAGUUAUUUUACAGUACAUAUGGGGCUACUUUAUAGCACUAGUGCGAGAAGUAGCAUAUUAUGUUACUGUGUCGAACAUUUAAAGGGCCAUAAGUACUGUAAAACGUUGUACGAUACAUGUGCGAAUAGGUAAUUCGCAACUCGUGUCGAUUUAAAACACUCCCUUCGGUCGUGUUUUAAUUUAUCGCCACUCGUUUCGAAUUUCCUAUUUUUCGCACUUGUAUCGUAAUGUACUAUUAUCUUAUACCUUUAAACGAGCAAUUCUUGUAAGUAUAUAUAUAAUAAUAUUUCUGUGAUCUCGGAAACGGCUCUAACGAUUUUGCUGAAAUUUGGUAUAUUAAUAAGCGGGUUAAGACGCGGACUGCUAAACGAGUGUUACGGGUUCGAAUCUCGCCCGGUGACUAACUUUUGUUUUUUUUUAUAUGUUCAAGUUUAUAUAUAAUUUUUUAAUUUUUAUUGUUUUACACAAGUUUAAUUUAGUAAAAAAAAAUGACCUAUGUAAUAAGAGAAAUCGACAAUAGAUGGCGUUACUCUGUGACAAGUGCUGUAAGGUUAAAAUCGAUUGUAAAUAAUAAUAAUUGUCAGUUCACAUUUUACUUUUUAAGUUUAUGUA